UCUAAUUUGGUCAAAAUUGGGCUAAACACGUUGACUGUUAUAAAAUUAACGGAACUAUUGACGGAGGAUCAAUUGUGAACCGAUUUGAAAUGUGCAGGACCAAAAAAUAAAAAAAGAUAAAGUUUAGGACCAAAAUCAUAAAAUGAUCGUAUGUCCAGGACCACUUUUGGCCUUUUACUCUUGAAAGUAAAUAAACAAAACUUAACACUCUUCUUCCUAAACCAUCGGCUAUUCCCUCUCUCUUGAUACUGUGUUCUUCCCCAAACUGCAAACAAAUUCAUCUCCCUCCCUAUCGAUUUCUCUCACAAAAGGCAAGAACACAGUCCCAAAAUCCCAGAGGUCGCGGAGGUUCGCUGCUACCGCCGGCAUCCCUCCGUGGUGCCGCCGCUGCCGGCUCUGAAUUCAUCGCUCGCAUCCACCACGUCACUUGGCGCCGCAGCAGCCGCUGCGUCACUGCUCCGACGGCCUCGAUCUCGCCCCCGAUUCGCCCCAGAGAACCCGCAUGUUUCAUGCGAUGCACAAAAAUUGAGGUGAUAUUGGGGUGUGUGAUGUACCUUUGUAGAUUGGGGACGAAUUGGCUUAAACAAAGGAGGAGGUUCUGGCUUCCGUUUCUCUCUUCUCUGUUCAUGAAAGUUCUAUGAGUUUAGUGCAUAGUUUAGGAGUUUUCGAUUGAAGAUUCACAAGGUGGAACGUAGUUGGAAAAGAUUACCGUGGUGCAAAAGGGAUUAGGAUUAGAAUUCGGAUAUCUGCGCCGCCGGAGGAAACCCGGCCGUUCUCUUCCUUGAUUGAGAGAGAGUUUUCAACUGUGGAGGAACGGUGCCGUGAGAAAGAGAUUAGGGUAUGGGGAAUUUAUAUAGCCGUGUAAUUUGAGUUAUUUUUGGUGGUUGAUUUCAAUUGAUUGUGGAAAAUGAAUAUUUG